AACGCACAUUGCGCCCCUUGGUAUUCCGAGGGGCAUGCCUGUUCGAGCGUCAUUACAACCCUCAAGCAUUGCUUGGUAUUGGGCCCCGCUGCUUACCCAGCGGGCCUUAAAAUCAGUGGCGGUGCCGUCGAGGCCCUGAGCGUAGUAAAUAUCCUCGCUAUAGGGACUCGGUGGACGCUGGCCAUCAACCCCCAACUUUCUAAGUUUGACCUCGGAUCAGGUAGGGAUACCCGCUGAACUUAA
rnacentral:misc_RNA from 1 species